GGUUCGAUUCUGGCUCCAGAUUGAACGCUGGCGGGAUGCUUUACACAUGCAAGUCGAACGGCAGCCCGGAACUGGUGCAGAUGGCGGCGAGUGGCGAACAGGUGAGUAAUGUAUCGGAACGUGCUAGUAGCGAGGGAUAACUACGCGAAAGCGUAUGUACCGCAUACGCCCUUCGGGGAAAGCAGGGGACCUUCGGGCCUCUGCUGCUGACAUCAAGAGCGGCCGAUAUCGGAUUAGCUAGUUGGUGGGUAACAGCUCCGCAAGGCGACGAUCCGUAGCUGGUUUGAAGGACGACCAGCCACACUGGGACUGAGACACGGCCCAGACUCCUGGGGAGGGGGCAGCAGUGAAAUUUUGGACAAUGGGAAACCCCAGUCAGCCAUCCGCGUGUGCGAUGAGGCCUUCGGGUUGUAAAGCACUUUUGGCAGGAAAGAAGCGGCACGAAGGAUAAUACCCGUACGCUGACAAGUACCUGCAGAAUAAGCACCGGCUAACCACGUGCCAGCAGCCGCGGUAAUACGUAGGGUGCAAGCGUUAAUCGGAAUACUGGGCGUAAAGCGUGCGCGAGCGGUUCCGGAAAAGAAAGAUGUGAAAUCCCCAGAGCUUAACUUUGGAACUGCAUUUUUAACUGCCGAGCUGGUGUCAGAGGGAGGUGGAAUUCCGUAGCGAUGAAGCCGUAGAUAUGCGGAGGAACACCGAUGGCGAAGGCAGCCUCUAGGAUAACACUGACGCUCAUGCACGAAAGCGACGGGGGCAAACAGUUAGAUACCCUGGUAGUCCACGCCCUAAACGAUGUCAACUAGCUGUUGGGGCCUUCGGGCCUUGGUGGCGCAGCUAACGCGUGAAGGUGUGCCUGGUGAUUACGGUCGCAGAUUUAAAACUCAAAGAAUUGACGGGGACCGCACAAGCGGUGGAUGAUGUGGAUUAAUUCGAUGUAACGCGAAAAACCUUACCUACCCUUGACAUGUCUGGAAUCCCGAGAUUUGGGAGUGCUCGCAAAGAGAACCGAACGCAGGUUUUUUUGGCUGUCGUCAGCUCGUGUCGUGAGAUGUUGGGUUAAGUCCGCAACGAGCGCAGCCCUUGUCAUUGGAUUGCACGAGGGCACUCUAAUGAGACUGCCGGUGACAAACCGGAGGAAGGUGAGAUGACGUCAAGUCCUCAUGGCCCUUAUGGGUAGGGCUUCACACGUCAUACAAUGGUCGGGACAGAGGGUCGCCAACCGCGAGGGGGUAAUCCCAGAAACCCGAUCGUAGUCCGGAUCGCAGUCUGCAACUCGACUGCGUGAAGUCGGAAUCGCUAGUAAUCGCGGAUCAGCAUGUCGCGGUGAAUACGUUCCCGGAAUGUGCACCGCCCCGUCACACCAUGGGAGUGGGUUUUACCAGAAGUAGUUAGCUAACCGUAAGGAGGGCGAUUACGGUAGGAUUCAUGACUGGGGUAGAAUAACAAGAUGG
rnacentral:rRNA from 1 species